UGGAACACCUGAGAUGGUGCCUGUCCAGCUGCAUAACAUUAGUUCCCAUCACCACAGGAGGCCAAAAAUACAGCCAAGAUGACCAGCCCUGCUCCGUGGGACCCUGGGGGGAUUGGAAAGAGCAGAAAUGACGGAGAACUGAUGGAGUGGCGGCUGCGCGGGAGCCAGCGCCGGCCCGUGGGAGCCUGCUCCAGCCUGCUCCAGCCUGCUCCAGCCUGCUCCGUGCUAAUUCCAGCCGUUGCCGUGGAGGUAAAUAGCAGGAAUCAGCCUUUGCCUGAUGCACAAACGGAGUCAAGUAGCAGUGCCCUUUGCAAAG